rnacentral:rRNA from 1 species
UACGUAGGUGGCAAGCGUUGUCCGGAAUUAUUGGGCGUAAAGCGCGCGCAGGCGGCCUUUUAAGUCUGAUGUGAAAGCCCCCGGCUUAACCGGGGAGGGUCAUUGGAAACUGGGAGGCUUGAGUGCAGAAGAGGAAAGUGGAAUUCCAAGUGUAGCGGUGAAAUGCGUAGAGAUUUGGAGGAACACCAGUGGCGAAGGCGACUUUCUGGUCUGUUACUGACGCUGAGGCGCGAAAGCGUGGGGAGCAAACAGGAUUAGAUACCCUGGUAGUCCCUGA